rnacentral:lncRNA from 1 species
UGAAAGAUCUUAACAUGAGCAUUUCUUAUUCGUCAGUGUCAAAGUUCCUCAUAGUUGUAUGGCCUCAUCUAGCAUAUAUCGGUAGAGCCAAAUUUGUCAUUUUCUUUGUUGUUCAAUUUAAAGCCCUUCUUGGGUCCUAAAUCUUAGAUACAGAAACCAGCUUUGUAGCAAACCAGAGAUCUUUUAGCCUAAAUGGCUUCUCCCCUCUGUUUCAAUGGUGAAACAUAGGGAGAAAAGAAAGGAGAAGCCGAGCCCAACCAGGCCCGGCCCAAGCCCAGUGGCCAAUCCGGGCCGAGCCUAGGCACCCAGGGCACCGCAGGCUCAGCCGCGGUUGCCCUAGGGUACCCCGACGCGGCCGCAGGGCCGUCAGGCCCUGGCCGAGUCCCACCUCCCUCCGGUGAGGAGGUGGUGGCGCCACCACAGAGGGAGGAGGUGAAAAAGAGAAUAAAAGAAAAUAAAGAAAGAAAAAGAGGGGGGAAAAAAGAGAGGAUCGUACCUGGGUCUCUCGCGCCUCCUUCUCGGUCACGGUGGUUCUCCUCCUCCGCCGUGGCCGGAUCGGGGUAAGGGAGAUUCCCGGAGACAAACUCACUCCGGCAUCACUUCGGAGGAAGUUUAGCCCCUCCCUCUCCCACUGCUCCCACCCUGGAGAAGGGCACCCCUCGGCCGCAAUCGCCGGAGCGGCUGCAGGCCGAGGAAGCGUCGGCCUCCUCAGGGGAGCUCCCAAGGGCUCGACCCCACCUCCGGGACCCCGUUCGACUCCUCUGGCACCACUUCGGAGGAGGUCCAGGGCCUUCCCUUCUGCCGUUCCGAGGUGGGAGCAUCUUCCGAAGGAGGCUCACCCCAUUGUGGCACGGCGAGAGGGAGAAGAGGAAGGGGGAGAAGCAAAGAGAGAGGAAGGAUGGGAGAAGGGCUCGGCCGGAGGUGAAAGAAGAAGA